CGGAGUUAGCCGAUGCUUAUUCCUCAGGUACCGUCAAAAUUNUUCCCUGAGAAAAGAGGUUUACAAUCCAAGAACCUUCCUCCCUCACGCGGUAUUGCUCCGUCAGGCUUUCGCCCAUUGCGGAAAAUUCCCC
rnacentral:rRNA from 1 species